AGGAUUUCACACCUUUGUGCCUGGCUGGCACAUGUGGUGGCAUUUAGAUGGGCUAGGUUAUACAUGUGUAUGCUCAACACACCUCUAAACUCUAUAUGUGAGCCUCCUUUUUAGAUUUUUGUGUUUCUUAUUGAUGUUGCAUAACUUCUGCAGGCCUGCAAUGCUCAUGGGAUUUAUUGUGCUCCAUUAUGUGAUACCCUUGGUGUUGAAAGCAUUUCCUAAUGCAACCAAAUUCUUGAAAACAAUUGUGAGCUUCAGAAGUAACUUCUCUAUGAAUUUGUUAUUACAACGAUUGUUCCCAUACUUCUUCUCUAUGAAGUGGCUAUAAGUACAUGCCUUAUCAACUUUUGGCUUGCCACGUCACGAUGGAGGUGUAUUACAGUGCAGAAACACUCAGUGUGCCAGUGGAGAUGAUAGAAGGGAAGUGUGAAGCUAGAAAGAAGCAUGAUCUUCCAUCUCUAGAUGACCCUGCAAUCUUUGAGCAUAUCUUCUUCAGUGAAUACAUGUAUGAUCCUUCCAAAUGUUGGGUGGUGUAGAUAAAAGAGAAAGAUGGCGAUAAUGUUAAGAUGUAAGGACAAGGAAACAAGUGUA